UAAACGAAUGCUCGCCGGUUGGGGCGCUUAGCUGUUAACUAAGAUUUUGUAGGAUCGAGGCCUUCUCGUUUAG
rnacentral:tRNA from 1 species